rnacentral:rRNA from 1 species
UACGGAAGGUGCAAGCGUUAGUCGGAAUUAUUGGGCGUAAAGGGUGCGUAGGCGGAAGAAUAAGUCGGACGUGAAAUUCUCGGGGCUUAACCCCAGAGCUGCAUCCGAAACUAUUUUUCUAGAGGAAUGGCGGAGAAGACGGAAUUCCAUGUGUAGCGGUGAAAUGCGUAGAUAUAUGGAAGAACACCUGUGGCGAAAGCGGUCUUCUAGCCUCCUCCUGACGCUGAGGCACGAAAGCAAGGGGAGCAAACAGG